UAUCGAUUGUGUGUUGAGAGCAAUGGGGGCAAUGCCGGAAGGAAGAAAGUGUAUUACUUGCAUUGGUUACCGUAUUAAUGAAUCAAAGCGAAAUUCUUUAGGCAAGUGUUCUGCAAUGCUUAAGAGGCUGUUAAGUAAAUGGCAAAUUGAUGAGAUUAUGGAAUUGGAGAAGUUAUGUCAAGCUAAUCAGCUUCCACCCCAUCUUGUGAGCGUGAAUGGUAAACGUCUUUCCCUUAGAGAGUUGUUCGACUUGCAAAGCUGUGCAUAUCCACCAAAGAAGUUGAGACCAGGGAAGUACUGGUAUGACAAGGUGUCUGGAUUAUGGGGAAAGGAGGGACAUAAGCCCUGCCAGAUAAUUUCUCCCCAACUAGCUGUUGGUGAUACAAUUAAGAAAGAUGCUAGCAAGGGAAACACAAAUAUUGUGAUAAACAGUCGAGAAAUUACUCAAUUAGAGCUGUAUAUGUUGAAGCUGGCAGGAAUAAACUGUGAAGGAAACGUUUGUUUUUGGCUCAGUGCUGACGGAUCCUGCCAGGAAGAGGGCAUGAACAAUGUAGUUGGAAAAAUAUGGGACAAGACUACACACAAGAUGCUUUGCCAUGCUUUGAGAUUGCCUAUUCCUCCUGUGUCUGCAAAUUCUUCUGGUGAAGAAGUUGGAAGUGGAUUGGAGGCAGGUGACCCUUGCAGCACAGUUAGCAAAAAACUAAAUAAACUACUUCUUGCUGGUUGUGAUCAAUCGGGAACAAGUACUCUGUUCAAACAGGCCAAAAUUGCAUAUCACGUUCCUUUCUCAGAAGAAGAGCAUCAGAAUAUUACAUACACGAUUCAAAGAAAUUUGUAUAGAUAUAUUGCUAUACUCCUCGAAGGACGUGAAAGAUUUGAAGAGGAGUACCGUGUUGAAAUGAGGAAAAAACGGCUUGAUGAACCUGGCCCUUCAGCGCUUCCAGACCUGAUUGAAGAAGAGAUUGAAGGAGAGAAUGUCUAUUCCAUCAGCCCUAGACUGAAAAACUUUUCAGAUUGGCUUCUUCAAGCUAUGAUGUUAGGAAAUUUGGAGGUCAUUUUUCCUGCUGCCACUCGAGAGUACUCAGCCGUAGUUGAGGAGUUAUGGAAGCAUAAAGCAUUUCAGGCCACAUAUCAGCGGAGAAAUGAGCUAGAAAUGCUUCCUAGAGUGGCCAAUUAUUUCUUAGACCAUGCUGUUGAGAUUUCUAAGGUAGACUACAACCCUUCUGAUAUGGAUAAGUUAUACGCUGAAGGAAUUACUUCAUCCAAUGGUGUAGCAUCCAUGGAAUUUUCGUUCCCUAAUCCAACUCAGGAUAGUUACAUGGAGACAGUUGAUCAACAUUCGUCCUCAAUGAAGUACCAACUAAUAAGAGUACACGCGAGCUGCAUAGGGAAAAACUGCAAGUGGUUGGAGAUGUUUGAAGAUGUUGACCUUGUCAUCUUUUGUGUUUCCUUGACGGAGUACAGCGAAUAUCUAGAGGAUUACAAUGGAUUUUGCACAAACAAGAUGAUGGAAAGCAAGAGGCUCUUUGAGAACAUCGUCAGUCAUCCAGCUUUUGCCCCAAAACACUGCCUCUUACUAUUGAACAAGUUUGACAUACUAGAGGAAAUAAUUGAAGAAUUUCCCCUUUCUGAAUGUGAGUGGUUUCAGGACUUCAAUCCAGUGAUCAGUCGUCAUCCCAACAGCAAAACCAACAACAACAACCCCUCGUUGGCUCAACGUGCUUAUCAUUACGUAGCUGUGAAGUUUAAACGCCUAUAUAAUUCCAUCACAAAGCGAAAACUGUUUGUUUCACAGCUAACUGCUUUAGAGGCUGAAAGUGUUGAUGGAGCUCUUAAAUACACCAGGGAAAUUCUUAAAUGGGAUGAAGAAAGGCGUAAAGUUAUGCGCGAUUGGACAACAGAAAGCCCUGAGGCUAGCACAACACUGGAGGCUAGCACAACUACAUAGGAACUAUCAUUCUUUUGUUGAGUACACUUCUCCUUUUGGCUGUACAUAGUUUACAACAUAGCAGGAAGUCACUUUACUAAAAAUGUUUAGUUUUGAGUCUUCUCUUCUGCAUUUUGCAGAUACAAUCUUGUAAUACAUUCUUUUUAGCUUUUACUAAUAGGCUCUCGUUUCGACUUUGAGGACUCAUUUGGUUCAAGGUAUAAUGUAUAAUAAAUCUGAGCGAUA
rnacentral:misc_RNA from 1 species